UUGAUAAGGCUACUAAUGCGUACAUUUUCGAUGUAAAGGACUAAGUUAUAAACUCAUAUCUCUGUUUGGUGUAAAUUAUGUUGGUGUAACGUAUGCCAAAUGAAAAAUACUUUGGAGUAUCGGUAGAUUUUGGGAUAAUAUUAUUUUGAGAUGAAUUGGUUGAGAUGGGUUUUCGUUUUUUCAAGAUAAAAAAAUCAAUAACGAAUAUAUACUUAAGUAAAGCAUUUGAUUGUUGACUUAGAAUUGAUAGACUUUUAUACGAUGUGUGCAUUUCUUAAGUAAGUUCAGUAUGUGAAAUUACUUUUUAAAUCAACUUUUAAGAUAAAUAAAUUAAACAUAUUUAAAAGAAAAUAAAUAUAUAUGAUAGCAAACUUUUGUCAUUAUAUACAAGAAAACCAAGACGUAAGAAGCAAAUUGAGUGAGCCGUUGAAAUCAUCAGAAAUAUCCUCUGACUGGAACAGUUAUAGAAACACGUCAGAUGCAUGUAUAUUAAU
rnacentral:misc_RNA from 1 species